rnacentral:lncRNA from 1 species
AAAUUUCUUUUUUUUUACAAAAAUAUAAAGUAUAUCCAAAGUUAACACUGGCAAGUCGAGUAUAACAAUGUAUCUAACACUGCACAAUCUGCAUAAACCUGCAUACCUGCAUAGGAUAAUUAGCAUUGCAUAUAUAAAUUAACAUGUAAAGCUUAUGCUGGCUUGCUGAUGUUUUCUUUCAUUGUUCUAUUCAAUUAACCCCUAGCCCAAUAUAGCAACAUCUAUUUAAAAUUGACCUGGGACUGGGAUUUUGGGCAGGUAGGGAGGAAUAAGGGAAAUACCUUGGCCUGGGAUUUUAUGGCUUAAAGAAAGGGGAGGGGAAACCCAGUGGCUCUUGUGAAGUGGGGAGAUAAAAGGAUUGGGGAAAUCCAGAGCCUGGUGUAUUUGCGGAGAUAAAAGAGGGAGAAGGUUACAUCCACGGGCUGGUGAACAGGGGGAGAUAAAAGAAUGAAUGGGG